GACGAACGCUGGCGGCGUGCCUAAUACAUGCAAGUUGAGCGCUGAAGGUUGGUUCUUGUACCAACUUGAUGAGCAGCGAACGGGUGAGUAACGCGUGUGGAAUCUGCCUUUGAGCGGGGGACCACAUUUGGAAACGAAUGCUAAUACCGCAUAAAAACUUUAAACACAAGUUUUAAGUUUGAAAGAUGCAAUUGCAUCACUCAAAGGUGAUCCCUCGUUGUAUUAGCUAGUUGGUGAGGUAAAGGCUCACUAAGGCGAUGAUACAUAGCCGAAAUGAGAGGGUGAGCAGCCAGAUUGGGAGGGAGACACGGCCCAAAGGGCUACGGGAGGGAGCAGGAGGGAAUCGGCGGGAAGAGACGAAAGUCAGAGCGAGCAACGCCGCGUGAGGGAAGAAGGUUGUCGGAUCGGAAAACUCUGUUGGUAGAGAAGAAAGUGGGUGAGAGUGGAAAGCACAUCAAGUGACGGUAACUAGCCAGAAAGGGACGGCUAACUACGUG
rnacentral:rRNA from 1 species